AGAAGGAAGUUGCCCAGCUCUCCUAUCCCAGCCCUUUAACCCUCCAGGUUUACAGAAUGUUAUUUCAAAUGGCAGUGUGGUGAGAAACUCCUAAAUGAAGAAAGGAACCUUGUCUUUCAGGGCUUAAAGCAAAGACUUGAAGUUUGAUGCUUUUCCCAGUGUCUCUAUGUACAUAGGGAACUUAGUUCUGGGCCGUGUACAGAAAUACCACUGUAAUAUACCAAAAGGAAGUUAAUAAUGUAGAUUACCUUUUUAAUUAUUACUAUUUUAUUAUUGUUUUUCUCUUAUUGAAAGCACUGCAGUUGUUAGUGGAGGAAAAGUAGGAGCCAAGUGUGAGUGAGGAAUAAGCCUAUUGGUUCAGUAGGUAGAGUUCAUGUAUUAGAUAGGAGCACAUGGAGUACGAUAGGACCUUGUCGGAAUGGAUUUUUUUCAGGGAUUCAUCUGCCAGUUUAAAAGCCCCACCAUAGUCCUUACCAUUAGGAAAACUUGCAAAUACCAAGAUACAUACAAAACAGUAAUUUAUGCCACUGAUCAACCAAGAUGCUUCUAACAGACUGUAACCUGCUUUGGAGAGCCGCCGUUUCAGAAGACACAGAUAAAAGUGGUUGACUGUACCAAAACUAGACUAGGAAUGAUUUCUCUUGAACUCCUGUCAAUAUUUAUUUCCUCCAUCUAUAAUGGACAGUUAGAUGUGGGAUUUUUUGAUUUUACUCCAACUUUUUUUAAAGUGCUCUUUAGAGCUGACAGAUUUGUAAGUACCGUGUCUCUAUCUACUGUCUUCAUGUUCACUUGUCCACUGCCCUUUCCUCCCAGGCUGGGAGCGGUCAGCACCAACAGGACUCACUCUCCCCUGGAGAGUGGCCAUUCAAGUAGACCACUCAUAAGCCAUCUGACUAAAUACCCUUUUUCCACACAGAAAAGGGCUAACUAUACAGCAGAGCAGGAAUCUCUGAAUAUCCCACUAAACGUUCUCUUCCUAUUUGUCAGUUGUAUUUUUCCUUAGGAUAAAGGUUUUAUCCACUAUAUUAGCAAAUCUGUGGGCAGGGUAACCCGUCACCACUUAACAUGAAUUGCUUCCUCUUUCUAUUUAUCCUCUCCAUAAAAUUUUGGAAGCUAUCUAAAACUGAGACAUGCCCCUUAAAAAUGAUGAUUAAUCUUGCUAGAGAAAGGAUGACACAUUCUGGUUGUCAUUCCACACUCAUGGUAGACUCAGCAAGACUGACCUAGAUUAUCAUUAAUGACUUUGAUAUAGGACAGAAAAUCUGUGGUUUUCUCCAGAGUGUGACAUGUCAUCUGGAAAUCUGGAAUGCAGGCUUGAUUACCAGAGAUAUGGAAAGUUAGAUGCAGGUUAAGCAAAUAUUUUAUAUAUAUAUAAAUAUAUAUAUAUACAUAUAUUCACACAUGUACAUACAAUGUGCACAUCAAAAAUGGUCAUAUCUUCUGUGCUGUCAGAUAUACAGAGAUAAAUGUUUAAAAGGGUCUUGAAUCUCUUUAAGCAAGAUCUACACAGUUUUACAAGGGAAAAAAACAUUUCUCGAAUAAGUCAAAGUUUCAUUUUGUUUUUUAAGUUAUAAACUUCAAGAAUUUUUUUCUAAGUAAAGGACGAGGGGGGAGACAUAACGGAGCCAUAUGCAUGGAGUAUGUGUUUCUACAUAACAGAAAACUUACGAGGAAACGAGAGAACAUGUAUAGUUCCCUCCUAUUUGAAGCCCAGGUGUAGAUACCAAGGCCUCCUUCCCCCCAAGUCCCAGGGGUGCAUUCCAAGCCUCACUUGCUCCUCAGUUGACCUUUGGGUCUGACCUUGUACUUCAGCCACCUCACCAGAGCCCUCAGCCUACAACCUGUGAAAGGGUUUCUUCAUAACUCUUAAAAGCAGGAGAAUCCCACUAUGCUUAGAACUUCAGGCUCCACGCCCACUUGAGCCUUCUCCUGACCCUCAGCAGUUCUUUUACAUCUUAUCUCUUCCCUCCAAGCUAAGGUCACAGUGUGGUUAAAAUUACUUCCCAAGAAAGAAGGUUAUUGAUUCUUCAGUAAUGCCCUGUAUUGGAGCGGGGGGGGGGGGGGGGGGUAAACAUAGAUCUUUUCAUGUUUGUAGCCUAGCAGUGUUUCCUUCAUUCUUCAAAAUCCUUCAGUACUACCACACAAAACCUAGUCAAAUAUCAGUGUUGGUGGCCAGAAGUAUAUAAUGUGGAUAAUGUCUUGCUUUGAGGUAGGGAAGGUCUUCAAGUGCAGGUUAUAGAUUACAGAGAGCUGGCCAUAUUGAUGAAUGCAGUUUAACUAUUAACAUUUUGGGACCUUCUUAAAGAGCCUGUCUGUAUUACAAGAUUGAAUGCCCAAAGCAUAUUUCAAGGUUCUGUAAUGUUACCAUGAAUG
rnacentral:lncRNA from 1 species